UUCCGGUUGAUCCCGCCGGACCUGACUGCUAUCGGAUUGAUACUAAGCCAUGCUAGUCUUUGUAGUAAUACAAGGCAUACGGCUCAGUAACGCGUAGUCAACCUACCCUAUGGACGGGGAUAAUCUCGGGAAACUGAGCAUAAUACCCGGCAGACCACUUAUCCUGGAAUGGUUAGUGGUUAAAAUGAUUCGUCGCCAUAGGAUGGGACUGCGGCCUAUCAGCUUGUUGGUGAGGUAAUGGCCCACCAAGGCGAUUACAGGUACGGGCUCUGAGAGGAGAGGCCCGGAGAUGGGUACUGAGACAAGGACCCAGGCCCUAUGGGGCGCAGCAGGCGAGAAAACUUUGCAAUGUGCGAAAGCACGACAAGGUUAAUCCGAGUGAUUUCUGCUAAAGGAAUCUUUUGUUAGUUCUAAAAAUACUAGUGAAUAAGGGGUGGGCAAGUUCUGGUGUCAGCCGCCGCGGUAAAACCAGCACCUCAAGUGGUCAGGAGGAUUAUUGGGCCUAAAGCAUCCGUAGCCUGUUCUAUAAGUUUGCGGUUAAAUCUAUACGCUCAACGUAUAGGCUGCCGUAAAUACUGUAGAACUAGGGAGUGGGAGAGGUAGACGGUACUCGAUAGGAAGGGGUAAAAUCCUUUGAUCUAUUGAUGACCACCUGUGGCGAAGGCGGUCUACCAGAACACGUUCGACGGUGAGGGAUGAAAGCUGGGGGAGCAAACCGGAUUAGAUACCCGGGUAGUCCCAGCUGUAAACGAUGCAGACUCGAUGAUGCAAUGGCAUAGAGCUAUUGCAGUAUCGCAGGGAAGCCGUUAAGUUUGCCGCCUGGGAAGUACGUACGCAAGUAUGAAACUUAAAGGAAUUGGCGGGGGAGCACCACAAGGGGUGAAGCCUGCGGUUCAAUUGGAGUCAACGCCGGG
rnacentral:rRNA from 1 species